rnacentral:rRNA from 1 species
GAACGGACCCUUCGGGGUUAGUGGCGGACGGGUGAGUAACACGUGGGAACGUGCCUUUAGGUUCGGAAUAGCUCCUGGAAACGGGUGGUAAUGCCGAAUGUGCCCUUCGGGGGAAAGAUUUAUCGCCUUUAGAGCGGCCCGCGUCUGAUUAGCUAGUUGGUGGGGUAAUGGCCCACCAAGGCUACGAUCAGUAGCUGGUCUGAGAGGAUGACCAGCCACAUUGGGACUGAGACACGGCCCAAACUCCUACGGGAGGCAGCAGUGGGGAAUCUUGCGCAAUGGGCGAAAGCCUGACGCAGCCAUGCCGCGUGUAUGAUGAAGGUCUUAGGAUUGUAAAAUACUUUCACCGGUGAAGAUAAUGACUGUAGCCGGAGAAGAAGCCCCGGCUAACUUCGUGCCAGCAGCCGCGGUAAUACGAAGGGGGCUAGCGUUGCUCGGAAUUACUGGGCGUAAAGGGAGCGUAGGCGGACAUUUAAGUCAGAGGUGAAAUCCCGGAGCUUAACUUCGGAACUGCCUUUGAUACUGGGUGUCUUGAGUGUGAGAGAGGUAUGUGGAACUCCGAGUGUAGAGGUGAAAUUCGUAGAUAUUCGGAAGAACACCAGUGGCGAAGGCGACAUACUGGCUCAUUACUGACGCUGAGGCUCGAAAGCGUGGGGAGCAAACAGGAUUAGAUACCCUGGUAGUCCACGCCGUAAACGAU